rnacentral:lncRNA from 1 species
AUGCCAUUAUUUCACCCGUCAGGAACUGCUGUUGCCACCUAGAACGUGGCAGCAGAUAUUGCAUGUACACCAGUGCAGAACUGUGAUUGAUGCAGACUUGACCAAUGUUCUACUCUACUGCUACGCUCUUCAGGACCUUUGUGACGUUACUGCCCUGAGAAGGACUGAGAAAGUGGCAGAAUGUAGACCCAUCUUCAUCCUGCAGGUAGAAUCAGGAAAGACUGUGGACUCAAACAGUGGAGAACCGUUGCCAAUCAAGGUAGAGUAGCUUUCUCUGCCUGGUGUCCUCAAGAGGUAUGUGGUUACAACUCCCAUUCCAUUGGCUGUGCUGGCCGGGGAUGGGUGAGGGAGGUGCUGAGCUACUAAAUGGGCUGGAGGUCU